UUGAACGCUGGCGGCAGGCCUAACACAUGCAAGUCGAACGGUAACAGGAAGCAGCUUGCUGCUUUGCUGACGAGUGGCGGACGGGUGAGUAAUGUCUGGGAAACUGCCCGAUGGAGGGGGAUAACUACUGGAAACGGUAGCUAAUACCGCAUAACGUCGCAAGACCAAAGAGGGGGACCUUAGGGCCUCUUGCCAUCGGAUGUGCCCAGAUGGGAUUAGCUAGUAGGUGGGGUAAAGGCUCACCUAGGCGACGAUCCCUAGCUGGUCUGAGAGGAUGACCAGCCACACUGGAACUGAGACACGGUCCAGACUCCUACGGGAGGCAGCAGUGGGGAAUAUUGCACAAUGGGCGCAAGCCUGAUGCAGCCAUGCCGCGUGUAUGAAGAAGGCCUUCGGGUUGUAAAGUACUUUCAGCGGGGAGGAAGGGAGUAAAGUUAAUACCUUUGCUCAUUGACGUUACCCGCAGAAGAAGCACCGGCUAACUCCGUGCCAGCAGCCGCGGUAAUACGGAGGGUGCAAGCGUUAAUCGGAAUUACUGGGCGUAAAGCGCACGCAGGCGGUUUGUUAAGUCAGAUGUGAAAUCCCCGGGCUCAACCUGGGAACUGCAUCUGAUACUGGCAAGCUUGAGUCUCGUAGAGGGGGGUAGAAUUCCAGGUGUAGCGGUGAAAUGCGUAGAGAUCUGGAGGAAUACCGGUGGCGAAGGCGGCCCCCUGGACGAAGACUGACGCUCAGGUGCGAAAGCGUGGGGAGCAAACAGGAUUAGAUACCCUGGUAGUCCACGCCGUAAACGAUGUCGACUUGGAGGUUGUGCCCUUGAGGCGUGGCUUCCGGAGCUAACGCGUUAAGUCGACCGCCUGGGGAGUACGGCCGCAAGGUUAAAACUCAAAUGAAUUGACGGGGGCCCGCACAAGCGGUGGAGCAUGUGGUUUAAUUCGAUGCAACGCGAAGAACCUUACCUGGUCUUGACAUCCACGGAAGUUUUCAGAGAUGAGAAUGUGCCUUCGGGAACCGUGAGACAGGUGCUGCAUGGCUGUCGUCAGCUCGUGUUGUGAAAUGUUGGGUUAAGUCCCGCAACGAGCGCAACCCUUAUCCUUUGUUGCCAGCGGUCCGGCCGGGAACUCAAAGGAGACUGCCAGUGAUAAACUGGAGGAAGGUGGGGAUGACAUCAAGUCAUCAUGGCCCUUACGACCAGGGCUACACACGUGCUACAAUGGCGCAUACAAAGAGAAGCGACCUCGCGAGAGCAAGCGGACCUCAUAAAGUGCGUCGUAGUCCGGAUUGGAGUCUGCAACUCGACUCCAUGAAGUCGGAAUCGCUAGUAAUCGUGGAUCAGAAUGCCACGGUGAAUACGUUCCCGGGCCUUGUACACACCGCCCGUCACACCAUGGGAGUGGGUUGCAAAAGAAGUAGGUAGCUUAACCUUCGGGAGGGCGCUUACCACUUUGUGAUUCAUGACUGGGGUG
rnacentral:rRNA from 1 species